GCCCAAAUAGCUCAAUUGGUAGAGCAACUGAUUUGUAAUCAGUAGGUCGGGAGUUCGAUUCUCUCUUUGGGCA
rnacentral:tRNA from 1 species